CUUCAUAUUUGAGAUAGUUGCUCUGAAAUUUAGAGGAAUGAAUUUCAUAUGGCUGUAGCGUUUAGUUUGUUCUUUUUCUUCUUCUUAGUAGUUGAUCUUAUUUCAUUUGGUCAUAUACAUCCUAUUGUAGUAUAGAUUAUGAAGGCCUCAUUUCCUGGUUGAGGUGUGGAUGAAGGAGCUUGAUGCUUAUGAUAAGCAAGGCCUUAAUUGUAAUCCGGUUAAAUGGGUUUCUCCUAGAACUGGUACUACCUCUAUCACAAAAUCCAUGGACGGGGGUUCCUCUCUGUGUUAGAGUCGGAGUAACCUUGGGAACCAAGGUUCAGAUCCUGCACAAGCGACUCUAUGUGAUUUAAAUGGGUUUCUCCUAGAACUGGUACUACCUCUAUCACAAAAUCCAUGGACGGGGGUUCCUCUUUGUGUUAGAGUCGGAGUAACCUUGGGAACCAGGGUUCAGAUCCUGCACAAGCGACUCUAUGUGAUUUGUUUUCAUCUCUCUAGACCUUUAUAGACAUAGUUACCUUGUUCCUGUGCUGGUGGGAGGUAAAAGGUACCCAAUGGAUUAGUCGAGGUAUGCACAAGCUGAGGAGGACACCACAAGUCACAAUAAAUCUCCAAAAAAGAAAAAGCCGCCAAAGUAAUUGCGAUUGCUUCAUUUGAAGAGCAUUGCAUAGACCUUUACAUUUUGUCCACACUUCGAUGUGUUCAUAUUUAC
rnacentral:lncRNA from 1 species